UUCUUUUGGAAGGAGCUCUUCCUCGGCCUCUGCAUGGGCGCGACCUGCACUGUCAGACUCAUGUGCAGUCAUUGGUUACAAUGGUGGCUCAUGAAGUUCAAACAAUUCUUUCAGAUUUGAGAUGAUAGAAAUUGAGAAUAGUACUUCAAUACAAGAAAAUGCAGAAAGCAUGAACUAGAUGGAUAUGUCCAGGUUGCAUUUUUUCUUCCUCCACCCCAUGUUUCAACUUAUAAUUUAGUUGAUAGUAUGAUUCCUGGCUUGGGAGGAUGCCAUAAAC